rnacentral:rRNA from 1 species
UACAGAGGGGGCAAGCGUUGUUCGGAAUUACUGGGCGUAAAGGGCGCGUAGGCGGCCCGCUAAGUCGAACGUGAAAUCCCCGAGCUCAACUCGGGAACUGCGUCCGAUACUGGCGGGCUUGAAUCCGGGAGAGGGAUGCGGAAUUCCAGGUGUAGCGGUGAAAUGCGUAGAUAUCAGGAAGAACACCUAUGGCGAAGGCAGCACUCUGGGACGGUACUGACGCUGAGACGCGAAAGCGUGGGGAGCGAACAGG